AACGAACGCUGGCGGCAUGCCUAACACAUGCAAGUCGAACGAGACCUUCGGGUCUAGUGGCGCACGGGGGCGUAACGCGUGGGAACCUGCCCUUAGGUUCGGAAUAACUCCCCGAAAGGGGUGCUAAUACCGGAUAAUGUCUUCGGACCAAAGAUUUAUCGCCUUUGGAUGGGCCCGCGUAGGAUUCGCUAGUUGGUAGGGUAAAAGCAUACCAAGGCGACGAUGCAUAGCUGGUCUGAGAGGAAGGUCAACCACACUGGAGAUGGGACACGGCCCAGACUCCGACGGGAGGCAGCAGUGGGGAAUAUUGGACGAGGGGCGAAAGCCUGAUAAAGCAAUGCCGCGUGAGUGAUGAAGGCCUUAGGGUUGUAAAGCUCUUUUACCCGAGAUGAUAAUGACAGUACCGGGAGAAUAAGCUCCGGCUAACUACGUG
rnacentral:rRNA from 1 species